UACUGCCAUGAUAGGGUAGAACAGAGCGGAUUAUUAAGUGCUGCGUCACAGGAAGUUUGGGCGGCCAUUUUAUUUCCUGGCUGAUAACUCUAGCAGCCAACUUGUCAGAGACAGACUGGAAGAUGAAUAGGAAAGGACCUGGGCAGAGAUGAAUAAUAAAAGCAACAAUAACUACAGUUGCCCCAGGAAUGACAGCUGGUAAUAAUGUUAUUUGCAAGAUUUCGGAGGCAGCCGAUAAAUCCACUGAACUGAAGUGCAGGAUGGAGGGAAGGUAGAACGUGUUUCACACCUCCAAGUUGCAGAGGAGUUCCUGUGGAAACUUCACAAGAUGAUCGAUCAUGGAGAGGCUGCCGAAUGCCAUCUGCUUCAUUCGCAAGGGCAUCUGAACAAUGAUCAAGGAUCAUCUUCACUUUCUGAGCCAAAAUACAGAAAUCAUUAAAGAGCUUAAAAAACCGUUUAGUAAAUAUGACAUCUUUAUGGUAUAGUGACAGUAUAGGUGUGUGUAAAGAAUGGUAAAUAAAUACUGGUGCCUAAUGAA